AGGGGUGUUCGCAUCCAAUCCAAUCCAAUGCAAACCGCAGCAACCGAACCGAAAAACCGAAAACCGAAAGCAAACCGAAAACCGAAAAAAAACCGCAAUUUUAAAUGGAUUGGAUUGGUUUUCGGUUCACAUGGUAUAAACCGAUCCAAUCCAAUCCAAACCGAACUUAUACUUGUAUAUAUGAAUUUCUUGUAAAUGUAAUCCUUAACUACUAUUAUUCUGUAACGUUUCUAUUCUCUAUGACUUUCUCUUUGUAUUGACUUUUUUCAAAUUUUUAACAAAUAUUAUUAAUUGUAUUAAUUCUCUUCCUUGAUUAAGGAGUAUACAUUCAAUGAUCACUUCUACCAAAACAAAAAUCACUCAAACGACAAUCAGCCAUUUAUGCUAUAUAUUUGCCUAGGCAGGCUCUUGUUUCUGUAUACUCAUUCACCUUUGGCCUUUCAUUUGCUGAAGCACUUCAUCCCCUCCCUCUCU
rnacentral:lncRNA from 1 species